GACGAACGCUGGCGGCGUGCUUAACACAUGCAAGUCGAACGGAAAGGCCCUGCUUUUGUGGGGUGCUCGAGUGGCGAACGGGUGAGUAACACGUGAGUAACCUGCCCUUGACUUUGGGAUAACUUCAGGAAACUGGGGCUAAUACCGGAUAGGAGCUCCUGCUGCAUGGUGGGGGUUGGAAAGUUUCGGCGGUUGGGGAUGGACUCGCGGCUUAUCAGCUUGUUGGUGGGGUAGUGGCUUACCAAGGCUUUGACGGGUAGCCGGCCUGAGAGGGUGACCGGCCACAUGGGGACUGAGAGACGGCCCAGACUCCUACGGGAGGCAGCAGUGGAGAAUAUUGCACAAUGGGCGGAAGCCUGAUGCAGCAACGCCGCGUGCGGGAUGACGGCCUUCGGGUUGUAAACCGCUGUCGCCUGUGACGAAGCGUGAGUGACGGUAAUGGGUAAAGAAGCACCGGCUAACUACGUG
rnacentral:rRNA from 1 species